GCUGCAGGAAGCAAAAAAUAUAACUUAGAAAAUGCACUUAACAAUGCAUAACACUUUCAAUAUUUACUGUACAACCAGUAUUUGCCUGUUCAUAGGCUAGAUGCUCGUAAUAAUAUUUUCUAUCUUCAGAGAUCCCACUCCAAAGGAAGAAUGAAGGACAGAAAAGCAGGAUCCCAUUCCCAGCACAAGAUAGAACACCAAGGAUAAUGAUUUUACAUAUUAAGACAGCAAAGCUAAAAAUACUGAGUUCUUAUCAUGAAAUGCCAGAAAGGAGUAAACUGAAGGCUGGUGGACUUCAGAUGACCAUUAUGGUUAUUGUGAGAUGCAAAUAGAGAGGACAAGUGGAAGGAGAGUGGCAAUUCAGAUUCUUUUGCUUGAAUGGAAUAAAACAAUGUCAAGAAAAA